rnacentral:rRNA from 1 species
UACGGGGGGAGCAAGCGUUGUUCGGAUUUACUGGGCGUAAAGGGCGCGUAGGCGGCCACCGCAAGUCAGUUGUGAAAGCUCUGGGCUUAACCCAGAAAGGUCAGCUGAUACUGCGGUGCUAGAGUGCAGAAGGGGCAACUGGAAUUCUCGGUGUAGCGGUGAAAUGCGUAGAUAUCGAGAGGAACACCUGCGGCGAAGGCGGGUUGCUGGGCUGACACUGACGCUGACAGCGCGAAAGCUAGGGGAGCGAACGGG